CGAGAUCUUCAGUUUCUUGGCAAUUUCUGACAUGGAACAGCCUUCAUUUCUCAGAACAAGAAUAGACUGACGAGUUUUAGAAGAAUGUUUUGUUUCUCAGGGUGUAUAAUGGGAAUAACAUCAGGUUUGUUUCUCAGGGUGUAUAAUGGGAAUAACAUCAGGUUUGUUUCUCAGGGUGUAUAAUGGGAAUAACAUCAGGUUUGUUUCUCAGGGUGUAUAAUGGGAAUAACAUCAGGUUUGUUUCUCAGGGUGUAUAAUGGGAAUAACAUCAGGUUUGUUUCUCAGGGUGUAUAAUGGGAAUAACAUCAGGUUUGUUUCUCAGGGUGUAUAAUGGGAAUAACAUCAGGUUUGUUUCUCAGGGUGUAUAAUGGGAAUAACAUCAGGUUUGUUUCUCAGGGUGUAUAAUGGGAAUAACAUCAGGUUUG